GCCUUCGUGGUCUAAUGGUUAGAACACUCGGUGCGUAUUCGAGAGGUCUAGGUUCGAGUCCCGUCGAGGGCA
rfam:Stegodyphus mimosarum contig96545, whole genome shotgun sequence.